rnacentral:rRNA from 1 species
UACGGGGGGGCAAGCGUUGUUCGGAAUUACUGGGCGUAAAGGGCUCGUAGGCGGCCAACUAAGUCGGAUGUGAAAGCCCUUGGCUCAACUGAGGAAGUGCAUCCGAAACUGGCAAGCUAGAGUAUGUAAGAGGGUCGCGGAAUUCCCGGUGUAGAGGUGAAAUUCGUAGAUAUCGGGAGGAACACCGGUGGCGAAGGCGGCGACCUGGGACAAUACUGACGCUGAGGUGCGAAAGCGUGGGGAGCAAACAGG